rnacentral:lncRNA from 1 species
UUACAGUUAAACAAAUACAGUACUAAUAAACAUUUCAAAUACUAAACUAAUAUAAACUUUAAAAAACCCAUAUGAAAAAUAGAAUAACAAAAAAUUAUAGCAAUAAAAACCAACAAAACAUACGUUGCAAAAAAAAAAAUCAACAUAUAAAAAAAAUAUAAACUGGCCGCGCGUAGCGCUGGUCAACAACUAGUAUACUAUAUUUUUGUGAUCGUAGUUUAAAAUUA